UCGGACGUGGUGCAGCGCAGCACGGCCUCUCCUGUUAAGUGAUCUUUACAAGCGUCAGAGGCAGACUCGGGUUCAAUUCCCGGCGUUCGAA